rnacentral:lncRNA from 1 species
CUAGGAUUUAUUUAAGAUUUGACUAGGGUUUGUUUAGGAUUUGGAAUUGAUUGAGAUUUAUUAGGAUUAGAAUUUGGGUAAGAUUUGAUUAGGGUAUGUUUAGGAUUUAGGAUUUGUCUAGGAUUUGAUUAAGAAUGGAUCAAGAUUAAGGUUUGGUUAGAAUUUAAGAUUUAUUUAGAUUUUUGUUAGGGUUUGACUAAGUUUUUUUUAAUAUUCUUUUAUGUUUUUUUAAGAUUUUCUUGUAUUUCUUUUAUAACUUCUGUAAAAUUUAACUGAGCUUGCUUAAUAUUUGAUUAUGAUUAUUAACAUUUAAUUAUAAUUUCUCUAUAAUCCUAUUGGAUUGUUAGGAUCUUUUGUUGUAAUUUUCUUUUACCUUCUAUAGCUAGGUGUUCGGUGCAUUCUGAGGCAAGACUUCACGUAUUACGACAUAUUUGGUGAAUCCGACAUAAAAUGCUUGAAGUGGAAGGAAUUUAGUUUUUUUGGAUUAUUUGAAUUUUGGAGAAGAAAGAUAAGAAAGUUAGAAAAAGAGCUUUGGGUGAUAUGUGAAUUAGAGCUUUUGAAUUCUUAGGGAUUUGGAUACUAUCUUAAAAUACAAUGGCAAUAUUUGGAUUAUUGUGGAGUAUUAUAAGGCUUUAUAGAUAUGUUGGAGUAUUGUGAAGUAUCAUAAGGUAUUUAUUGGAGCAUUUUGAUGUACCAUUUGGAACAUUUUGAUGUACCAUUUAUAGCAUUUCAAGGAACAUUUUUGAACAUUAUAGAACAAAAUGGAAGAUGUAUUAUCAAGGUUUUUGGACAUGCCAAAUAUUAUGGAUGGAUCAAAUAUUAGUGAAUUUUUUAAAGCUUUCUAUAUAUUCAUGGAGGAACAACAAAGAAUGCAAGCAAUUGAAAAAGAUAUCAGAAGGACAUUGUAAGGAGUCAUCAAUAAAUUUGGGAGGUUUGAAGGAUGCAUCAUCACUAAGUUUUUGUAAGUUUAUACAUAUGAGAUAGAGACAUGCCAAAUCCUUGAGGCAAAGGUGAUCUCAAGCUUACAUUUGGCUAUUGAAUCUAGGUUUCAUGAAAAGAUGAAGGGAUUGCUGGAAUGAGGUAUAGAAACAUGGUCAAAAUUUCAAGAACUUUUGAAGAAAGAAUUUAUUGAUGGAUAUGAAGAUAGAAUUACCAAGCAAAAGUUUUUGAAUUUGAUAGAGUUUCAAUCAAGCAAGCAUAUGGAUCUUUAUGAAUUCUUGGAAGAAUUUGAUAGGAGGUAUUAUCAACUGUCAUCCUCAGAGAGAUGAUCAUUGGAUAUUUUAAAGGUAGAUUUGUUUUUAAAUAGUCUUGAUGAUGCCUUGGGAGAUGAACUUUUCAUGCUUCUUAUAGAUGAAUCUAUAGAGAAUGAUUGUAUCGAUAAUUGGGACAAAUUGAAGAAAGUAGUGGUUGCUUUACCAAGGCAACAAGAAGAAAAAGCUAAAGAAAUUAUAAUAUGAUCUAAAAAAUAUUCUACUUUGGCUUCUAUGCCAUCUUUAUCAAUGUAAGGGACUAAUCUUAAAAAAAGAAAAAUGAAAGAGCAAGUAGAGGAUUUUAAUGGAGAAGCCAAAUUUUUAUAGAUGAAAGAAAUUGGAUCUUAUUGCUAGGGUAGUGAAGGAGAGAACAAAGAUUCUUUUCAAACUAUUACUAUGGAAGGCCAAGGUAUCCAAAAAUUUGAAGGUAAUAUGAAGACCAAGGAUUUGGAAACUAAUGACAAUGCGGUUGGAAGCUAUGGCUAUUCUAUAUUGAAUAAGUUUGUGCAAGUUGGUGGUGGUAAUUUGGAUGAAAAAUCUCUUGGUGAUAAAAAAACAUUUCUACAUUUGAAGGAUGUGAAGAUGUUUUGCCUAAUACUUUGGAUUGUGUUGAAGAACUUAAAGUUGAACCUUUAUAGAAAAUGGAUUAUAGAUCUAUUAAAUGCUAUAAUUAUAAAAAUUGUAUGAAUUCACAACAUUAUGAUGUAAAAAGUGGUGGGAUUAUGCAUGGAUAUGAUGAAGAAAGUCAAAUUACAUAUGGCUAUGAGACCACAUAUGAAUUGGAUAAAAAAAAUUAUAAAUUUUUACAUAAUUAUCAUAAAGAGGGUUAUGAAAUUGCACAAGAUUAUGAUACUAAAUAUAGUUGUAAAACUGAUUUUUAAAGCGAGUGAUGUUCUCUGUGAAUUUAGAUCUUUGAGAAAUAAAACCAAUUUACAAAUUUUUGGAUUUCGUGACUUUUGUAGCAUUUUUACGGGUGAAAAUUUAGAAACUUAUUGAUAUACUUAUUGUGAAUGUAUAUAAGAGAUUUGUAGUCAAUUGAAUGGCUAGAUCGAUACAAAUAAAGGUUUUUAUGGGCUAAGAUCUCGAGAUUUAGGAUUUUGAGGACCAGUAAGGUUUUCUUAGAUAUCUAGUAAUCUGCCUAGUGGAUUAGAGAGAUUUUUUGUUUUAUCAGUAGAAGACUUGAUUUUCUAUAUGCAACUAAAAUUUGGAAGCAAUCAAAUGAUGGAAAAAGGAGUUAUUAGCGCUAGAAACUUGGCAUUAGAUUGGAGAAGGAGAGGCCGGCCGACAUCUGAGCGGAAUUUUGAGGUCAUCAACUAAUUGGUAAGUGCAAUUUUCUUCAAAAUUUGUGUGUUGGUUGUAAACUUAAACUCCAAGAAGUGUGCAAAUUUUGAAUUAGAAUCGACAAUUCAAUCUUUAGUCAUUUAAAUUUCAAAUCUGUGAUUAGGAUUUGGUUUGGAUUAAGAUUUGAUUAGGAUUUAGGGUUAGGGUUAGGAUUUGGUUUAGAUUAAGAUUUGAUAAGGAUUUAGGGUUAGGAUUAGGAUUUUAUUAGGAUUUGGUUUAGGAUUUAGGAUUUGAAUAGGGUUAGGAUUUGAUUAGGAUUUAAAGUUAGGGUUUGACUAGGAUUUGAUUAGGAUUUGUUUAGGAUUUGACUAGGAUUUGUUCAGGGUUUGGAAUUGAUUAGGAUUUUUUAGGGUUAUGAUUUAUCUAAGAUUUGAUUAGGAUAUGUUUACGAUUUAGGGUUUUUAUAGGAUUUGAUUAAGGUUAGAUUAAGAUUAGGAUUUGGUUAGAAUUUAAGGUUUAUUUAGAUUUUUGUUAGGGUUUGACUAAGUUUUCUUUAAUAUUCUUUUAUAUUUCUUUAGGAUUUCCUGUAUUUCUUUUAUAACUUCAAUAAAAUUUAAUUGAGCUUACUUAAUGUUUAAUUAUGAUUGUUAAAGUUUAAUUGUAAUUUCUCUAUAAUUCUAUUGGAUUGUUAAGAUCUUUUGUUGCAAUUUUCUUUUACCUUCCACAAUCAGGUGCCUGAAGCAUUCUCAAGCAAGAUGUCAUGUAUUAUGAAAACAAACAAUUCUCUUGAAGCUAGAGCAUCUUCAUCUUGGAGCAAUGAAAUCAACACUAAUUGUUGAUUCAACUUUCAUUAAGCAAGUUCAAUCAAGUAUGUCUUCUGAUCCUCUUAUUUGUGAUAUUAAAAAAAAUCCUUCAAAUUCUCAUGAUACUUCCAAGUUUGAAUUCAAGAAGAAUCUACUAUAUUUUGAGGGAUGCCUAUAUGUUCCAAAAGGUGAAGCUCGAUUACUUGUUGUUCAACCUCGUCAGGACUUUCUAGCAGCAGGACAUUUUGAGUAUAAUAAAACUUUGGAACUAAUAUCUAGGGACUUUUGGUGGCCACAAAUGUAGAAAGCAAUUAAAGAUUUUGUACAAUCUUGUAAUAUUUUUUCGAGAUCAAAAACUCCUCGUCAUCGACCUUACAGACUUCUUCAAUCAUUAUCCAUUCCAAAAUAACCAUGGUCUUCUAUUUCUAUGGAUUUCAUCACGGAUCUUCUAAUCUCAGGUUCUUAUGACUCUAUAAUUCGUGAUAGUAGAUCAUUUUACUAAGAUGGCACAUUCUGUACCAUGUACAAAAUCUAUCACAUGUGAAGAAAUAGCUAAGCUCUUUCUUGAUAAUAUCUAUUGUUGUCAUGCAUUAUCUAAGGAUAUUAUAUCAGAUAGGGGAACUCAAUUUGUAUUAAGAUUUUGGCGGACUCUUUUCAAGAUUCUAAAAGUGGAUAUAAAACUAUCUUUGAUAUUCCAUCCUCAAAUUGCUCGACAAUCAGAGUGCGUUAAUCAAGUUUUGGAGUAGUAUUUAAGAUGUACCAUUAACUACCAACAAGAUGAUUGGACAACUCUUUUGCCAUUGGCAGAGUUUGCUUACAAUAACAUGGUACAUUCUUCUAUAAAAUAAAUAUCUUUUUUGAUAAUUAUGGUUAUCAUCCACAACUUGAUACUUUUGACUUUUUAAAAGUUGAUAAUCUUGUUGCGAAAGAUUUGGCAAUAAUGAAGGCACAGUUAACAGAAGUUCAAGAACAACAAAAGGUGAACGCGAAUGUCUAUCGAAAGAAACAACUAACAUUCGACAUGGGUGAUAAGGUAUGGUUACUUUGUCGCAAUAUCAAGACCACUUGUCCUUGUGACAAGUUCGACUAUCAAAGGCUUGGACCAUUUUUUAUUUCUACACAAAUCAAUCCAAUUGCAUAUUGUUCACAUCUACUGGAGUCAAUGAAAAAUUAUCUAGUAUUCUACGUGUCUCUUCUUGAACCAUACAAGACAGUGGACAUAUUAAGAAGAAGACAAGCUCUACCUUCUCUUAUAGAAGUGGACAAUAAUGAAGAAUUUGAAGUGGAAGAAGUCUUAGAUUUAAGGCGGUGCAAAAAUAAAUUGGAAUAUCUUGUCUAUUGCCAGGGAUAUGAUAUUAGUGAAUGCACAUGGGAGCUAGUAAAAAAUCUUGUAAAUGCAGCAAAGAUAGUGGAGGCUUUUUAUCGACGACAUCCAUUAAAAUUAAGAUAAGAACCUUCUUUAUAAAAGAAACAAGAUCUAGGCAAGAUAUCAUUCUACUUUCAAUUCUUGUUUGUAGCUUCUUUGUAGUUGUGAUGCUCAGAAAAUAGAGAACCAACAACCAGCGGAUUUGACUCAAGAGCUUGUGUUUGUUGAUUUAUCAGACGAGACGUUACGAAUAUCUCAACCUUCAAGAUGAUGCAAUCGAGAUGAAGAUCUUCAAGAAUGACAUGUUCUUCCUUGAAUAAAUGGCAAAAUACAACGCGUUUGACAUCACGACCUUAGAAGGGACUCUCGAUGUUUGGUGAUUUUACUAGAGGUAGGAACAACUCCUGAUGGUGUUCCAAAUGUUUUAUUCAAAAGAAGUUAUGAAGGCCUCAACAACGAUCAAAUAACUAGGUAGUCUUCCCACGUUGGUAUCGAAUACUACCGAUGGUUGAGAGGCCCUAUCAAUCAUCUUCGAAGAGAACAAAGAUCAGAGUAUGUGGCAAAUACAAUUCGUUGCAUCAUAGAUUUCUUCAAGCUAUGAUGACCGCUCUUCGUAGAACUCGUCCCUCUAAGGGGAGGUAAUGUCACGAACAUAUUCAUGUAAGUCAGUAAUUACAUAAAUAAAUAGGUAGAAGUAAGUAAAAAUAGAUAAAAGUAAGUUAACUCUACAAUAUUUGAUAUUAAAGCUUCUUAGAAGCUUCAUAGACAUUGCUUUGACUUUAUAGGUGUCUUUAAUUGACUUUUUGGAUUAGAAAUGUGGUCAACAAGUUGGCCAUGUGUCACACAUAUUGUUAGUUUGAAGACCAAGCUAAGUAUGUGGCCUACAUGUAGAAAAACUUACCUUGUAAGUCAAGGCAUGUGUCCUACAAAGUUAACACAUAGUUAGAUAGUAUAUAUAGAGACAAGAGUGAAGCCUUCUUCACUCUUGUCAACUCCUUUCUUGCUUCCAGUCUAGUUUCAAGGGUCUCUACUUUUCUUGUCUUUUGGUAAUCGCCAUUGCCGUUUCUUUCUUAAUAUAUAUAUAUUAAGUUCUUUCUCUUUUAUCAUCUAUUUAUGAGAGAGGUCUCACAUGUAUAUUUUUAUUUAUGAUGUUCUUGUGCUUUAUAUAAUGUCACAAAUAUAUACAUUUAUCUUAAUAGUUACUUAUAUGCUUAAGAAGAACUAGAGAAAUAUAGAAUACUUUCAUAAAAUCUUCAAGAGAAGCUUCCUUAAAGCUUGAUAGACUUGCUUUUGACUUCAUAUGUAUUUCUAGGUUAGAAAGUGAUUCAAAAAGUUAACCAUGUAGUGAUAGCAUGGGGAAUAAGUUAUCCCCUUGUAGAACAAGAACAUCAUAAAUAAAAAUAUACAUGUGAGACCUCUCUCAUAAAAAGAUGAUAAAAGAGAAAGAACUUAAUAUAUGUAUAUUAAAAAAGAAACGGCAAUGGCGAUUACCAAAAGACAAGAAAAGUAGAGACCCUUGAAACUAGACUGGAAGCAAGAAAGGAGUUGACAAGAGUGAAGAAGGCUUCACUCUUGUCUCUAUAUAUACUAUCUAACUAUGUGUUAACUUUGUAGGACACAUGCCUUGACUUACAAGGCAAGUUUUUCUACAUGUAGGCCACAUACUUAGCUUGGUCUUCAAACUAACAAUAUGUGUGACACAUGGCCAACUUGUUGACCACAUUUCUAAUCCAAAAAGUCAAUUAAAGACACCUAUAAAGUCAAAGCAAUGUCUAUGAAGCUUCUAAGAAGCUUUAAUAUCAAAUACUGUAGAAUUAACUUACUUUUAUCUAUUUUUACUUACUUCUACCUAUUUAUUUAUGUAAUUACUGACUUACAUGAAUAUGUUCGUGACAUUACCUCCCCUUAGAGGGACGAGUUCUACGAGGAGCAGUCAUCAUAUCUUGAAGAAAUCUAUGAUGCAACGAAUUGUAUUUGCCACUUACUCUGAUCUUUGUUCUCUUCGAAGAUGAUUGAUAGGGCCUCUCAAUCAUCGGUAGUAUUCCAUACCAACGUGAGAAGACUACCUAGUUAUUUGAUCGUUGUUGAGGCCUUCAUAACUUCUUUUGAAUAAAACAUUUGGAACACCAUCAGGAGUUGUUCCUACCUCUAGUAAAAUCACCAAACAUCGAGAGUCCCUUCUAAGGUCGUGAUGUCAAACGCGUUGUAUUUUGCCAUUUAUUCAAGGAAGAACAUGUCAUUCUUGAAGAUCUUCAUCUCGAUUGUAUCAUCUUGAAGGUUGAGAUAUUCGUAACGUCUCGUCUGAUAAGUCAACAAGCACAAGCUCUUGAGUCAAAUCCGCUAGUUGUUGGUUCUCUAUUUUUUGAGCAUCACAACUACAAAGAAGCUACAAACAAGAAUUGAAAGUAGAAUGAUAUCUUGCCUAGAUCUUGUUUCUUUUAUAAAGAAGGUUCUUAUCUUAAUUUUAAUGGAUGUCGUCGAUAAAAAGCCUCCACAAUCUUUGUUGCAUUUACAAGAUUUUUUACUAGCUCCCAUGUGCAUUCACUAAUAUCAUAUCCCUGCCAAUGGACAAGAUAUUUCAAUUUAUUUUUACACCGCUUUAAAUCUAAGACUUCUUCCACUUCAAAUUCUUCAUUAUUGUCCACUUCUAUAAGAGAAGGUAGAGCUUGUCUUCUUCUUAAUAUGUCCACUGUCUUGUAUGGUUCAAGAAGAGACACGUAAAAUACUAGAUAGUUUUUCAUUGACUCCAGUAGAUGUGAACAAUAUGCAACUAGAUUGAUUUGUGUAGAAAUAGAAAAUGGUCCAAGCCUUUGAUAGUCGAACUUGUCACAAGGACAAGUGGUCUUGAUAUUGCGACAAAGUAACCAUACCUUAUCACCCAUGUCGAAUGUUAGUUGUUUCUUUCGAUAGACAUUCGCGUUCACCUUUUGUUGUUCUUGAACUUCUGUUAACUGUGCCUUCAUUAUUGUCAAAUCUUUCGCAACAAGAUUAUCAACUUUUAAAAAGUCAAAAGUAUCAAGUUGUGGAUGAUAACCAUAAUUAUCAAAAAAGAUAUUUAUUUUAUAGAAGAAUAUACCGUGUUAUUGUAAGCAAACUCUGCCAAUGGCAAAAGAGUUGUCCAAUCAUCUUGUUGGUAGUUAAUGGUACAUCUUAAAUACUACUCCAAAACUUGAUUAACGCACUCUGAUUGUCGAGCAGUUUGAGGAUGGAAUACCAAAGAUAGUUUUAUAUCCACUUUUAGAAUCUUGAAAAGAGUCUGCCAAAAUCUUAAUACAAAUUGAGUUUCCCUAUCUGAUAUAAUAUCCUUGGAUAAUGCAUGACAACAAUAGAUAUUAUCAAGAAAGAGCUUAGCUGUUUCUUCACUUGUGAUAGAUUUUGUACAUGGUACAGAAUGUGCCAUCUUAGUAAAAUGAUCUACUAUCACGAAUUAUAGAGUCAUAAGAACCUGAGAUUAGAAGAUCCGUGAUGAAAUCCAUAGAAAUAGAAGACCAUGGUUAUUUUGGAAUGGAUAAUGAUUGAAGAAGUCUGUAAGGUCGAUGACGAGGAGUUUUUGAUCUCGAAAAAAUAUUACAAGAUUGUACAAAAUCUUUAAUUGCUUUCCACAUUUGUGGCCACCAAAAGUCUUUAGAUAUUAGUUCCAAAGUUUUAUUAUACUCAAAAUAUCCUGCUGCUAGAAAGUCAUGACGAGGUUGAACAACAAGUAAUCGAGCUUCACCUUUUGGAACAUAUAGGCAUCCCUCAAAAUAUAGUAGAUUCUUCUUGAAUUCAAACUUGGAAGUAUCAUGAGAAUUUGAAGGAUUUUUUUUAAUAUCACAAAUAAGAGGAUCAGAAGACAUACUUGAUUGAACUUGCUUAAUGAAAGUUGAAUCAACAAUUAGUGUUGAUUUCAUUGCUCCAAGAUGAAGAUGCUCUAGCUUCAAGAGAAUUGUUUGUUUUCAUAAUACAUGACAUCUUGCUUGAGAAUGCUUCAGGCACCUGAUUGUGGAAGGUAAAAGAAAAUUGCAACAAAAGAUCUUAACAAUCCAAUAGAAUUAUAGAGAAAUUACAAUUAAACUUUAACAAUCAUAAUUAAACAUUAAGUAAGCUCAAUUAAAUUUUAUUGAAGUUAUAAAAGAAAUACAAGAAAUCCUAAAGAAAUAUAAAAGAAUAUUAAAGAAAACUUAGUCAAACCCUAACAAAAAUCUAAAUAAACCUUAAAUUCUAACCAAAUCCUAAUCUUAAUCUAACCUUAAUCAAAUCCUAUAAAAACCCUAAAUCGUAAACAUAUCCUAAUCAAAUCUUAGAUAAAUCAUAACCCUAAAAAAUCCUAAUCAAUUCCAAACCCUGAACAAAUCCUAGUCAAAUCCUAAACAAAUCCUAAUCAAAUCCUAGUCAAACCCUAACUUUAAAUCCUAAUCAAAUCCUAACCCUAUUCAAAUCCUAAAUCCUAAAUCAAAUCCUAAUAAAAUCCUAAUCCUAACCCUAAAUCCUUAUCAAAUCUUAAUCUAAACCAAAUCCUAACCCUAACCCUAAAUCCUAAUCAAAUCUUAAUCCAAACCAAAUCCUAAUCACAGAUUUGAAAUUUAAAUGACUAAAGAUUGAAUUGUCGAUUCUAAUUCAAAAUUUGCACACUUCUUGGAGUUUAAGUUCACAACCAGCACACAAAUUUUGAAGAAAAUCGCACUUACCAAUUAGUUGAUGACCUCAAAAUUCCGCUCAGAUGUCGGCCGGCCUCUCCUUCUUUAAUCUAAUGCCAAGUUUCCAGCACUAAUAACUCCUUUUUCCAUCAUUUGAUUGCUUCCAAAUUUUAGUUGCAUAUAGAAAAUCAAGUCUUCUACUGAUAAAACAAAAAAUCUCUCUAAUCCACUAGGCAGAUUACUAGAUAUCUAAGAAAACCUUACUGGUCCUCAAAAUCCUAAAUCUCGAGAUCUUAGCCCAUAAAAACCUUUAUUUGUAUCGAUCUAGCCAUUCAAUUGACUACAAAUCUCUUAUAUACAUUCACAAUAAGUAUAUCAAUAAGUUUCUAAAUUUUCACCCGUAAAAAUGCUACAAAAGUCACGAAAUCCAAAAAUUUGUAAAUUGGUUUUAUUUCUCAAAGAUCUAAAUUCACAGAGAACAUCACUCGCUUUAAAAAUCAGUUUUACAACUAUAUUUAGUAUCAUAAUCUUGUGCAAUUUCAUAACCCUCUUUAUGAUAAUUAUGUAAAAAUUUAUAAUUUUUUUUAUCCAAUUCAUAUGUGGUCUCAUAGCCAUAUGUAAUUUGACUUUCUUCAUCAUAUCCAUGCAUAAUCCCACCACUUUUUACAUCAUAAUGUUGUGAAUUCAUACAAUUUUUAUAAUUAUAGCAUUUAAUAGAUCUAUAAUCCAUUUUCUAUAAAGGUUCAACUUUAAGUUCUUCAACACAAUCCAAAGUAUUAGGCAAAACAUCUUCACAUCCUUCAAAUGUAGAAAUGUUUUUUUAUCACCAAGAGAUUUUUCAUCCAAAUUACCACCACCAACUUGCACAAACUUAUUCAAUAUAGAAUAGCCAUAGCUUCCAACCGCAUUGUCAUUAGUUUCCAAAUCCUUGGUCUUCAUAUUACCUUCAAAUUUUUGGAUACCUUGGCCUUCCAUAGUAAUAGUUUGAAAAGAAUCUUUGUUCUCUCCUUCACUACCCUAGCAAUAAGAUCCAAUUUCUUUCAUCUAUAAAAAUUUGGCUUCUCCAUUAAAAUCCUCUACUUGCUCUUUCAUUUUUCUUUUUUUAAGAUUAGUCCCUUACAUUGAUAAAGAUGGCAUAGAAGCCAAAGUAGAAUAUUUUUUAGAUCAUAUUAUAAUUUCUUUAGCUUUUUCUUCUUGUUGCCUUGGUAAAGCAACCACUACUUUCUUCAAUUUGUCCCAAUUAUCGAUACAAUCAUUCUCUAUAGAUUCAUCUAUAAGAAGCAUGAAAAGUUCAUCUCCCAAGGCAUCAUCAAGACUAUUUAAAAACAAAUCUACCUUUAAAAUAUCCAAUGAUCAUCUCUCUGAGGAUGACAGUUGAUAAUACCUCCUAUCAAAUUCUUCCAAGAAUUCAUAAAGAUCCAUAUGCUUGCUUGAUUGAAACUCUAUCAAAUUCAAAAACUUUUGCUUGGUAAUUCUAUCUUCAUAUCCAUCAAUAAAUUCUUUCUUCAAAAGUUCUUGAAAUUUUGACCAUGUUUCUAUACCUCAUUCCAGCAAUCCCUUCAUCUUUUCAUGAAACCUAGAUUCAAUAGCCAAAUGUAAGCUUGAGAUCACCUUUGCCUCAAGGAUUUGGCAUGUCUCUAUCUCAUAUGUAUAAACUUACAAAAACUUAGUGAUGAUGCAUCCUUCAAACCUCCCAAAUUUAUUGAUGACUCCUUACAAUGUCCUUCUGAUAUCUUUUUCAAUUGCUUGCAUUCUUUGUUGUUCCUCCAUGAAUAUAUAGAAAGCUUUAAAAAAUUCACUAAUAUUUGAUCCAUCCAUAAUAUUUGGCAUGUCCAAAAACCUUGAUAAUACAUCUUCCAUUUUGUUCUAUAAUGUUCAAAAAUGUUCCUUGAAAUGCUAUAAAUGGUACAUCAAAAUGUUCCAAAUGGUACAUCAAAAUGCUCCAAUAAAUACCUUAUGAUACUUCACAAUACUCCAACAUAUCUAUAAAGCCUUAUAAUACUCCACAAUAAUCCAAAUAUUGCCAUUGUAUUUUAAGAUAGUAUCCAAAUCCCUAAGAAUUCAAAAGCUCUAAUUCACAUAUCACCCAAAGCUCUUUUUCUAACUUUCUUAUCUUUCUUCUCCAAAAUUCAAAUAAUCCAAAAAAACUAAAUUCCUUCCACUUCAAGCAUUUUAUGUCGGAUUCACCAAAUAUGUCGUAAUACGUGAAGUCUUGCCUCAGAAUGCACCGAACACCUAGCUAUAGAAGGUAAAAGAAAAUUACAACAAAAGAUCCUAACAAUCCAAUAGGAUUAUAGAGAAAUUAUAAUUAAAUGUUAAUAAUCAUAAUCAAAUAUUAAGCAAGCUCAGUUAAAUUUUACAGAAGUUAUAAAAGAAAUACAAGAAAAUCUUAAAAAAACAUAAAAGAAUAUUAAAAAAAACUUAGUCAAACCCUAACAAAAAUCUAAAUAAAUCUUAAAUUCUAACCAAACCUUAAUCUUGAUUCAUUCUUAAUCAAAUCCUAGACAAAUCCUAAAUCCUAAACAUACCCUAAUCAAAUCUUACACAAAUUCUAAUCCAAUAAAUCUUAAUCAAUUCCAAAUCCUAAACAAACCCUAAUCAAAUCUUAAAUAAAUUCUAAUCAAAUCCUAGUCAAAUCCUAACUCUGUACCCUAAUCCUAACCAAAUCCUAAACCCUAAACCAAAACACCUCUCAAAAGUCCUUCCA